UACGUAGGUGGCGAGCGUUGUCCGGAUUUACUGGGCGUAAAGAGCGCGCAGGCGGCUGGGCAAGUCCGAUGUGAAAGCUUCCGGCUUAACUGGAAAAUUGCAUCGGAAACUGCUCGGCUUGAAGGUGGGAGAGGGUAGCGGAAUUCCCGGUGUAGUGGUGAAAUGCGUAGAUAUUGGGAGGAACACCAGUGGCGAAGGCGGCUCACUGGACAGGAACUGACGAUGAGGCGCGAAAGCGUGGGAGCAAACAGG
rnacentral:rRNA from 1 species